rnacentral:pre_miRNA from 14 species
AUUGCACUUGACGACGGGAACAGUGCUGAUGCCGACCUUGGUAAUAGGACUAAACUGUGACAAGCUAUCACCGGGUGGGCAUUGGUUCUGGUCCCUUAGUCAUCC